UACGUAGGGGGCUAGCGUUGUCCGGAAUCAUUGGGCGUAAAGAGCGUGUAGGCGGCCCGGUAAGUCCGCUGUAAAAGUCAAAGGCUCAACCUUUGAAUGUCAGUGGAUACUGCCGGGCUAGAGUCCGGAAGAGGCGAGUGGAACUGCGAGUGUAGAGGUGAAAUUCGUAGAUAUUCGCAAGAACACCAGUGGCGAAGGCGGCUCACUGGCCCGGUACUGACGCUGAGGUGCGAAAGCGUGGGGAGCAAACAGG
rnacentral:rRNA from 1 species